rnacentral:rRNA from 1 species
CCUACGGGAGGCAGCAGUGGGGAAUAUUGGGCAAUGGGCGCAAGCCUGACCCAGCAACGCCGCGUGAAGGAAGAAGGCUUUCGGGUUGUAAACUUCUUUUCUCAGGGACGAAGCAAGUGACGGUACCUGAGGAAUAAGCCACGGCUAACUACGUGCCAGCAGCCGCGGUAAUACGUAGGUGGCAAGCGUUAUCCGGAUUUACUGGGUGUAAAGGGCGUGUAGGCGGGAAAGCAAGUCAGAUGUGAAAACCAUGGGCUCAACCUGUGGCCUGCAUUUGAAACUGGUUGUCUUGAGUACUGGAGAGGCAGACGGAAUUCCAGGUGUAGCGGUGAAAUGCGUAGAGAUUAGGAGGAACACCAGUGGCGAAGGCGGUCUGCUGGACAGCAACUGACGCUGAGGCGCGAAAGCGUGGGGAGCAAACAGGAUUAGAUACCCGAGUAGUC